AAAGUCUUCUAUAAUUCUUUUGUUUGGCCCUUUCAUUAAUUUUUUCAUUAUGACUUGGGAGUCUAUGAUAUCCGCGAGUCAGGAUGGAUUAUUACGAGAAAUGUUAUCAAAAUAUCGAUUACAGAUAUUUGAUUAUAUGUAUAUAUGAUUUCAAAUACUUCUAGUUACGAAAUCAAAUUGGUUUUUUUUUUGGUGGGGGCCAAAAUUAUCACCCCCCCUCUUAUAAAACACUUGGUUGAGGGCCUGUUGCCCCCUGCGGUCACUAACUUGUCCAACAACUCAAACUCUAUAGGGUCUGGGAAAUGCAAUCCACUCGGCCUGGGAAAUGUUUAAAAUCUAAUAAGGUAUUUAUUAAACAUAAAAGACAGGACAUAAGAUUCACAAAGCAAAUUUCAGUUACUAGAAUAUCAAACCUCCCUUCUAAAUUCCAUGUUUUGCUUAUAUUUUAGAGAAAAGGGACUUUGACUGGGGGGGCCAAAAUGGUUGGGUGGGGGGGCCACCAUGGGGGCUGGGGGGGCUUUGGCCCCCCCAGUUAUAUAGUUAAAAAAUGCCCUGCCCAAGUGCCAG